UACGGGAGGCAGCGGUGGGGAAUAUUGCACAAUGGGCGCAAGCCUGAUGCAGCCAUGCCACGUGUAUGAAGAAGGCCUUCGGGUUGUAAAGUACUUUCAGUCGUGAGGAAGGUGUUAAGGUUAAUAACCUUAGCAAUUGACGUUAGCGACAGAAGAAGCACCGGCUAACUCCGUGCCAGCAGCCGCGGUAAUACGGAGGGUGCGAGCGUUAAUCGGAAUUACUGGGCGUAAAGGGCACGCAGGCGGUUAAUUAAGUUGGAUGUGAAAUCCCCGGGCUUAACCUGGGAAUGGCAUUCAAGACUGGUUAGCUAGAGUCUUGUAGAGGGGGUAGAAUUCCAUGUGUAGCGGUGAAAUGCGUAGAGAUGUGGAGGAAUACCGGUGGCGAAGGCGGCCCCUGGACAAAGACUGACGCUCAUGUGCGAAAGCGUGGGGAGCGAAACAGGGAUUAGAUACC
rnacentral:rRNA from 1 species